rnacentral:lncRNA from 1 species
UGCUAAUAAAUUGUUAUGUACCAAAUAAUAGUGAGCUUAAGCAAGUGACGUUUUUGACAACACGAACGGCAUGAGUAACGUCAGAAGACUGGGUCAAGGGCUGUGAUUGGUGGAAAACGUCAACUUUACUUCCGGUCGACGUCCAUGCUGUCAAAAACGUCGCUUGCUUAAGCUCACUAAUAAGACACACAAACUCCACAAAUUUGAUCAAUUUUUAACAAUAUCCUAUAUUGCGAAUACUUGCCUUCUUUUGGCGCAUGUGAAAUGACUUUUUCCCCUUUCUUUGCGUUUUGGUCGAUCUCUCGUCAAGUUUCCCAUGCAUAUACUUCUUAAGCGGGGACUGUUGAUCGUCUUCGCUAGGUGUUUCCCAGAUUCUUGGUUCAACAGUAGUUAACAGUCUAUAUCUUCCUUUUCCAACGUUUGCCGUUAUCUUAUGGGGGCAACCCAGCGUGUAUCUAUUUUCCCUCUUUUUCUAUCCACAUCCCGCAUGUUUCUGACGACCACCAAAUCGCCCGCUUUGAGAAUCU